rnacentral:lncRNA from 1 species
GCGGCUCGGGAAUCCACCCGAAGAGUGGCUAUAAACGUCCGCGCCUCCAUUGCGCUCUCCUCUUCACUUAGGUAGGUCCUGCCGCGUUGACCACUGGCGUCUCGCUGGUGGUCUUCGAGACCGGCGUUGGUUGAAAAUCGCCCCCGGCUUUGGCCGUGGCCGCGGGUGAGAUUCGGCGCCCAGAGCCCCCGGGGGCCUCAGCUCACCGCGCGCUGCCCCAUGUGCGGCGGUGAAACCCAGGCCCCGACAGGC